UGGGGAAUAUUGGACAAUGGGCGCAAGCCUGAUCCAGCCAUGCCGCGUGAGUGAUGAAGGCCCUAGGGUUGUAAAGCUCUUUCACCGGUUAAGAUAAUGACGGUAACCGGAGAAGAAGCCCCGGCUAACUUCGUGCCAGCAGCCGCGGUAAUACGAAGGGGGCUAGCGUUGUUCGGAUUUACUGGGCGUAAAGCGCACGUAGGCGGACUAUUAAGUCAGGGGUGAAAUCCCAGGGCUCAACCCCGGAACUGCCUUGGAUACUGGUAGUCUUUAGUUCGAGAGAGGUGAGUGGAAUUCCGAGUGUGGAGGUGGAAGUCGUAGAUAAUCGGAGGAACACCAGGGGCGAAGGCGGCUCACUGGCUCGAUACUGAAGCUGAGGUGCGAAAGCGUGGGGAGCAAACAGG
rnacentral:rRNA from 1 species